rnacentral:rRNA from 1 species
UACGAAGGGGGCUAGCGUUGCUCGGAAUUACUGGGCGUAAAGAGCUCGUAGGUGGUUUGUCGCGUUGUUCGUGAAAACUCACAGCUUAACUGUGGGCGUGCGGGCGAUACGGGCAGACUGGAGUACUGCAGGGGAGACUGGAAUUCCUGGUGUAGCGGUGGAAUGCGCAGAUAUCAGGAGGAACACCGGUGGCGAAGGCGGGUCUCUGGGCAGUAACUGACGCUGAGGAGCGAAAGCGUGGGGAGCGAACAGG